rnacentral:lncRNA from 1 species
GACGUGUUCAAGUAUGACAUCACAGCUGGGAGGCCUAAACUAGCAGCAUUCUUGGAGGUACAUUAACAAGUCAUAGAAUUGUAUAAUGAAUGUCAUGGAUUCCAUUGUCUGAGCUUUAUCCCAUGUACGGAUGACUGUCUCUCAUCUGUUUAAAAACAAACUUAAACGUUUCAUGAGGCUAAGCUAGCUGUUCAAGUGGUUUCCGAGCAAGAAUUCUAAGCAAAAGCACUCCGUUAACCACUAUCUUAAAAUCGGAUUCGAUAGAGGACGUGCUCCUCUGUAAUAUCUCAUAAAGAUGGUGAUUAUUAUGGUUGUUAUAUAUAUCCUUGUGCAGGAAAUCAACAAGAUUGAGGCAUACAAGGUAACCAAAGCUGAUCCAAAGGAGAUUGUUGCAGCGUACAAGAAGAAAUUCCUGGUACAUUCUCUUUUGCUGACCUACAAUUCGAAAUUUGUGCUCAGUCGUUCUUUCUAUAUUCAUUAUGCUGGUUUGAUAACCUCUGCGUAAUACUUUUCGUUACAGGAGCAACAGUAAACCUGCGAAAUAUUCUGCUGCGGACGCCGUAUAAAUAAGUGGCUGAGCACAUCAACAGAUUGUUCGUCAGCCUAAUUACGUAUGCAGAUUAUGUAGUCUUGUUAUAGAUACGGACUUGUGUGUAUUUGGAUAUUUGUCUUUGUUACAUGAAUAAAAUUCGGGUCCUCGGAUUCUGUUCGGUGUUCGGGUCCAGCCUCUCGUAAUCUAUCAACAAUUUCUUCAGAAGAGGGAAGUUUCUUUGCAAAGCAAAGUACGAUAAUUACCAAACAAUAUAGUCCAAACCACAUUGGCCAAAUGUUUUUCUAUAUAUAUUUUAUAAGUCGAAGUUCUCUAUCUUUUCUUACACUACUCUUCAAAUAAAACAAGGCAAAAUGCUUCUAAUAUCAUAUCACGUCGUAAUGAAAAAUACAUAUACUAAUCUGAGAUAGAAGAGAUCAACAAAUUCCAUGUUUCAACAAAAAAAUGGGGGAAAACUAACCAAAAGCCCCAAAAAAAGUUUCCUUUUAAUCAUCAGGACAAAAGUUUUCAAAAAUACCAAUGCUACCCUUCAAAUAUCUAUACAAAAUUGGCCAAGUAUUCAGUAAAGUUCACGUGGUAUUCACCAAAGAAUACAUCCAAAGAAGAAAAAGGAGGAUUGACACUUUCAGAAAACAUUUGAAUGCAAAAGUUAAGGUGGCCAUUGCAGCAGCCAAGACAACAUGAAUUCACAUGACCUUCAUUAAAGCAAAGACAAGUCAGCCAGCUUUCAGAAAUAAUGCUGACAACUUUCGUGCUGUCACUAUUCAAAAAGUUGUAAAUAGAUGAAAAUUUAUUUUGUUGUUUAGGAAUUAGGUUUUGUAUAUAAGGGAGCUUUUCCUCUCAUGCAGAAUACACGAAAUAACACACAACACGCCUCAACAUCUCAACACCUCAACACCAUACUCACAUCAUACUUCAACCUACAAACACUCAAGCAUCCGAAACCUUCCUAGCAUCCUUUGUAAACAUUCUAUACAUCAAUAAAAGUUCAAGUGUACAAAUUCAAGCAAUCUUCAAUUCUUAAGUAAGCUUUCUUUUCUGUCUUUAGUGUGUUUGUUCAAUUAGACUUCUAGUCCAAAAUAGGGAAACACUAUUUUCAUUAUAUUAUUAACCUGUUAACCCGACGAUCAUACUUUGUUCGAGCACUCUGUUAUAGUUGAAUGCUUGCCAUACAAAUAACUGGACAUUAAUCAGGGUACUUCUGAGUGAGUAUUUAUAGUAUAGAGAGUAUUAAUAUGAUAGAUUUUGAUUCUGAAGAUUCAAGUAGUUCAAAUGGUGAUUUAGAAGAGUAUAUAUGUUCAUUCAUAGAAGAACAACAUGAAGAAGAAUAUAAAUACAUUAAUUUAGGUUGGCCAGAAAAUGUCAUAAGUGUAGCAAGUUAGUUGCAAAUAAAUACUAUAAUACAUAUUCAAUAUUAUGUGAAAAGUGUUAUAGUAAUAGGUUAUUAGAAGUUAAUUCAGCAGAAUCACAAGAAAGUACUGAAAUAUUAGGAAAUACUGUUCAUAGUAUAGAAAGGCCAAAAAAAUAGUUAUUUAAUUACCAUAAAUUGUGAAAUAGAAUUAGCAAAAUAACAUAAGAUACAAACAACAGCUAUGAUAGAUACAGAGAAUACAAAGAGUGUCAUAAGAGAAGAAUUAGCACCAGAAAAAUAUGGACAAAAAUUAGCAAAACCAGUAAGAAUAACAUAGUUUGAUGAGAGACCGGUUUACUUAACAGAUUGCAUUAAUAAUGAAUCUAUUAAAGUAGAAAAACAACAAUUUAAUUUACCAUUAACAUUUGUUUCAUCAGUAGGAUCAUACGCAUUCAUUUUAGGUUUAAAUUGCUUGAAAAGCUUGCAAGGUUUUUUUUAUUUAUGAACCUUAACAUAACAUUUUUCAAAAGAGGUAUUACAAUAGCUGAUCAAAGUAAUACUGUAGAAGCAUACAAAAGCAUAAGUGUAGAAGAAUUUAGUAGUCAAGAUAGUUAUUAUUUGGAAAACUCAAAAGAAAAUGAUGAGCAUAAUAACAUAGAAGAGUUUGAGGAAGAAUUAUUUGAACAUGAAUAUCCGAUUUUAGAAGAAAGAACCCAUAUAAAAAUAUUACAAUUAGAUAAAUUAAAGAGUUUAGAAGAAUUAUUACAAUUACCAGAACAAACUAGGAUCAUAGGAGAAGACCCACAUUUACAUUGGAGUAAAAAUAAAAUAAUAGCAAAAUUAGAUAAAAGAGCUUAUUGACCUCAUAGAUAGUAAGCCUAAGCAAGUAGAACUCAGAUCAUUAGAAAUAGUUGAGCAAUUAAGAUUAGAAGUUCAAAAAAAUUCAAUUAUUGCAAAAUGAGUUGAGUGAACAAGUAGAUAAGUUGCAUAAUAAAAUAGAUAAAUUAUUAGUUUAAUGACCGAUUCUAGAACUAGCAGAAAAUAUAUCCAAGCUUUGAAAGAAAUUAGUAAGCUAGAUAAAGAACCAGUAGGUUUAACAGAUUUUUCAACACAAGUAGCUAGUAGUAAUAUUCCCAUUAGGCAAACUAAUUUAAUUAUUCAAUUACUUUUAAGUUUGGCUAAAAAAUUAGAUCAAGUUGAAGAACAAAUACCAUAAAUAAAUCAAGUUUUACAUAACACAUCUCCAUCACUUCCACCAUUUUUGUUAGAAAAAUUAGAAAAUUUAACUUUAAGUACAAAUAAUCAUAUUAGAAGACCUAAGAUAAAUCAUUUUGAUAACAGAAAAUGGAACUCUUUAAGAGAGAAAAGAAGUAGUUAGAGUUGAAGAUAUUUAUCCAAAUGAAGAAGAAGCACAAGAAUUUAUUAGAAGAUGAUUUGAGAAAACACAGAAAAAUAAAUAUAAUUUGUACCAAUUAGGUUUAUUUGAAAAUAGAAGUAGGAUUGUAAGUAGCAUCAGUCAAGAUGAAGUUAGAUGUAUUGAUAAAGAAGUUAUACUUAAUUUACUUAGUAAGGAAGCAAUUAUGCAUUUGAGAAAAUCAAUCAGGUACAAUACAAUUACAAGAUUAUAUAGCUAAAAAUGUCUUAGAAUUUCCAGGUAAGUUAGAAGACAAAAAACAGUUACAAGCAUUUUUAGGAUUGUUGAAUUAUGCAAGAAAUUUUAUCCCUGAUUUAGAAAGAAAAAUAGCAGUAUUACAUAAUAAAACUAGCAAAAUAGGACAAAAAUAUUUUAAUAGUGAAGAUAUUAAAUUAGUUCAAAUAUAAAAGAAGAAAUUACUAAACUUAAGCCAUUAACAUUACCAUUAGAUGAUAGUUCUAAAGUAGUCGAAACAGAUGCUUCAUCAUUAGGAUGAGCAUGUAUACUAUACCAGAAAAAGAAUAAGGAGUCACCAAAGUCUAACGAACAAGUUUGUAGAUAUUCAUCAGGAAAAUUUAGUGAUGUACAACCAAGAUUACCAUUAAUAGAUUUAGAAAUUUUAGAAAUAAUUAACUCACUUGAAGCAUUCUCUUUAUUUUUACAUAAUGAAGUAUUUACGAUUAGAACAGAUUGUCAAAAUAUAGUUUCUCAUUAUAACAUACCAGAUUCGCAUGACAAGCUCGAUUAAAUAGUCGGAUGACCAUUAUAACAACUAGACAUAAAACCUUGCACAUGGAACUCGACAUGUUUUAGCAUGACGGCCACUCACAGUACAAGUAUAAACUCUUAACGGCUGAACUCAGAGGUACCUUAGUUAAUAUCCAUUUAUUUGUAUGGCAAGCAUUCAACUAUAACAGAAUGCUCGAACAAAGUAUGAUUGUCACACCCGAUCCCGACAUACAUCCAUGAUCGACACGUGACAGAAGAUUGUAGGGGGAUGCCAGGAAAUACAAACUGGAAUACUGAACUGAAUAUAUAUUUAAGAAAAGGUAUAUGGAUUAGUAACCAAAUGUAGUGAUAGGAUGAUCACAUUUAAGUGUUCUCUUCACUUUGUUCUAAAUUUAAAUUCUAAAGGAGCUACCUAACUUAGGUAGUUUUACCGGACAUCCUUCACAAAAACACAAGAUUUUAUUAUAUUUUAAUUGUAUACAAAUCGACUCCAUGCCAUUUUAUUUAAUGUGAGAGGUGUUGUAAUUAGAUAGUCCUAUGCUCCACCCUAGUUUUUAGACUCUUCCAAACUUGUUGGUGGCCAUACAUUACCGACUCACUAGUGACCAGCAGAAUGAUUAGUUCACACUAUUAAAAUUCGGAUAAAUUCGUCAUCCUUAAUUCUCCUCUCUAAUCAUCCGACCAACACCAAAACCCAGAUCAGGCGAGAUACUCAAAAUCCAACUGAGAAAUCAAGUCCACGACACUUAUCAUGCACAACCAUAAGUCGCGCAUGAUCAGCAUAUAUCGUAUCCUUUAUAUGUAGAUAUUAUUUCGUCACUGCUGCCGACUCCACCGCCACCUCACAGUCCUCUAUAAAACGGCCACCCACUUUGUACGGACACAUUCUGCGCCAAAUUCUGAUUGCCAAAAAAAACACAAAAAAUCUCUGCAGAGAACCAAAAAAUGGCGUACAAGUACGAUUUCUCAUUUUCGUGGUCUUUCUUUUUUCUGGGUCCAUCUGAAUUUCUGAUUUUUUUUCUUGUUGUAAAAUUAAUCCAAGAUUGUUUUGUUUCUUGGUGUUGCAGGCAUGAGGAACUUCCUCCACCGUUGGAUUCCACUUCCUCCCCCCCCCCUCUCUUUGACGGCACUACAAGGUUUACCUCUUUCCUCCACUUUUUUGGUCUGAAAUGGUUGGUUACAAAUCCCAUUGCUCAACUGAUACGUUCAAAUACUCACGAUAUAUACUGAAAAAUGAUUAUUUCAGCGUUUGAAAUUUGUAAUGUGAUCAUUUCAGCCAAUUUUCCCAAGAUAAAACACAUUUUUGAGGCUGUUUUCGCCUUCUGUCUCGUCCGAAUUUCAGUUUUGGCCACCUUGUUUUUUAUUUAUCUCAUUUUGCUCACUAUUUUUGUUCACUGAGUUUCGUUUUGUUCAGUGAUUACCAUGUUUUGAUGUGUAUUGGUUGCUUUGUGUUUUGAAGGCUGUACGUAAAUUACACAAGUCCAUUUGCACAGCGGGUUUGGAUCACUAGGAACUACAAGGUUUGUUCUCUUUUUUCACCAUAUUUUUCGUUUUUGGAGCUUCUGGCAAAGGCCCUGAGAUCAUUCAAUUUGUUGUUUGAGGAAUUGGCUAAUAUGAUGAAAUACAAAUCCCUAUAGCGGAAAUGAUUAUUUUUCAUUAUAUUUGAUGGAUAUGUCGUGGUUAUUUGAUUUAAAUCAUUUCAUGAAUUGGUAAAUUGAGAAUUAAUCAGAACCCAUGUCUUAGUGUUUGUUUUUGUCGAAAUUUUUUGAGUUGCAGGGUUUGCAAGGCAAGAUUAAGUUAGUGGGUAUAGAUCUUGAAAACAGGCCUGCUUGGUACAAGGAAAAAGUCUACCCCGGAAACAAGGUAAAAUAUUGAGCAAAAAUUAGUGUUCUCUUCUUCUUUGCUGCCAUUGAUUAUCUGUGGAAAAUUUGGUGAAACUGGAUAAAUCUCUUGAUUGAUUAUUUUUAUAGGUGCCAUCUCUGGAGCACAAUGGAAAAGUCAUUGGAGAAAGUCUUGAUCUGAUCAAAUACCUCGAAAGCAACUUCGAAGGGCCUUCACUUGUCCCCAAUGUAAGAUAUCCAGAAUUUGAUUGUGCCUCAAGUAACAUGACUUUGUCUUCUCAGAAAUUUGACCAGAGUGAUGCUGCGAAAUUGUUUUUAGGACGACCCUGGGAGAAAAAAGUUUGGCGAAGAAUUAUUAACUUAUGUUGUUACCUUCGUGGGGUCCUUGUAUCGCUCAUUGAAAGGAGACACGGUAAAAGCAGCUGGUAAGACUUGGAAGAUUCUCCCGUUAGUGACUUUUUGUUGAUGAAUAUACGCUGAAGAAAUUUGGUUAACUGCAUCAGAUGAGCAGUUUGAUUACUUGGAAAAUGCUCUUAAGAAAUUUGACGAUGGACCAUAUCUUCUGGGUCAGUUCAGUUUGGUAAGUUGAAUGUACAAUGUAUCUACAUGCCAAUUAAUGUUUUCGCAUUUCUAAUAAAAUGAGCUAGUAGUAACACAUAAGUGCUUAAGUAAUGGAUACAAAUUUGUGAUAUCCAGGUGGACAUAGCCUAUAUCCCGUUCGUUGAGCAGUUCCAAGUCUUCUUAUCAGACGUGUUCAAGUAUGACAUCACAGCUGGGAGGCCUAAACUAGCAGCAUUCUUGGAGGUACAUUAACAAGUCAUAGAAUUGUAUAAUGAAUGUCAUGGAUUCCAUUGUCUGAGCUUUAUCCCAUGUACGUGUUGGAUAAUGGCCAAAUUAGUGGCCAAGUGGCCAAAAACAUAUAAUAAAAAAUGAGGGAACAUCAUUUUGAGAAGACCAAUGAUGAUGUUUGUUGAAAAGAAAAAGAAAUGUCAUGAUGAUGUUUGUAAAGGAAUGAUUAUUCCUUUACUUUGGAUUUUUUUAUUGGAUGCUUUUGUAUGGAUAAAUGUUGCAUCCGAAUGUGGGAGAUGAGGGGGGAGCGGCAGAUGAGAGAAACCAGGGAGAGCAUUCGGCUCUCCCAUUUGAAUAUGAGCUGCUCCUUCCCACCAUUUGUAAUAAUCCCAUUUUGUUAGUAAUCACUCAAUCAAAGAUAUUUGUGCUACAUGUUGUGGCUUUUGGGAGAGAAGGAAUUUGGUAUAUGUUUCCAUUUUCUCCAUUUGUUCUUUGUUUUAGUGAGAGCUAUUGGGUGUAUGUGGGAUUUGGGUUUGAGAGUUAAACUCUAUUUGUAAUCUCCUUGUGAUAUUAGUGGAAUUUCCUUGCCGUCUCGGAACUGGAUGUAGGCUUACGCCGAACCAGUAUAAAUCCUUGUGUCUUUUGGAUUAUUUGUUUUGUCAUAUUUUGCCGUUGUAGUUUAUUAGUUUCAUAUUUGAUGCUUCCGCACAACAAGUGGUAUCAGAGCCCCGGGUUUCGACUUAGAGGCUUUGUACUAAUAUGUCUAUGAAACCUUCGAAUAUGACAGUGAAAUAUGUUUUUUUGAAAAAAUAUGACAGGAGGAAUGACUUUGGCAUUUGGUCAAUUGGAGAUGCAGAGUUUGGCUGCAAAAUGCGUGGCGUUGAAGAAGGAUAGUAAGGGACUAUGCUGCAGUCACUGAGCUCGCAGAUUGGAGAAUGGUUUCUGAAACAGCGUGUCUGCUGCAAUGUUGUUGUCGAUGUUGUUGAAGUGUUGGUGUUCGACGGCUGCAGUUGUAGUGUACUGCUUUUGGUGGAUUUUCCGUUGGUCAUCGUUGCACCGGAGGUGUUUGUGGGCUGUUGUCGACGAGUUGAGUGGAAAGGAGAAAAAGUAGAAGCAGUUGAAAAUUGAAAAGAAAAUGUUGGUUCUUUUUCUUUCGGCAUUUGUUUUGGCAGAAGGACAUCAAGAUGACAAAUGAUGUUGUUGGCUGAAAGAAAAGGGAAAAAGGCUAAGGCUAAGUUUUCUUCUCUUUGGCAUUUUUUCAACGGUAGAGAAGUUUUUCUUCACUCCCACUAGUUGCCUUUGGAGCAAGUUGAUGGAAACUUUGGAGGAGUUUGUGAGGGCCAAUUUGUUGAGUUCUGCAAAGGUUUGGAUAGUGAGACAUCACACUAUUUUGGAUACACCACAUGCACUGCAGAACAUUUGUGUGGAACCCUCUUGUAGAAGGCAAGUUAUAUGCUUUCUAACUUUGUUUGGUUUAUGGACAUUUGGUUGGAUUUGUUUGCCACUGCUAUUUGGUUUGUUGGUCUCCAUCAUCUGCAAUUAGUUUUCUUGAAGACUCCAGUUGAGGUAUGGUUUUGGAUCUCCUACUGAUUAUUUGAAUUUGAAAUUUUUGGUUGUCAUGUUGGUGCUCAUGUGAUGAUGGUAAACUUGAGUGAAGGGCAUAAUAUUGAUAUUCAUAGGAUCUGAAUUUGGGUGAAAGGUUUUGUAUGUGGUAUGUUAGACCUUGUUGCCAAAUUUGUAAUCAGUUUUGACUUGGAGAAUAUGCCAUGCUAUGUGAAUGAGUCUAUUGGUGCAGUUUUAGACCAUGGUGUUUGUGAGCAGGUGGAGUUCGUUGUAUGUCCAACUUUGGUAUGGUGUGCUUGAUCUUUUGUCGGUGAUAUUGAAGAAUUUCAGUUCUUCGUUUGAAUCACUUUUGUUUUGAUCAAGGCACUUAUGGUUUGCAAAUUUGGAGAAGACGGUAAAGAAAUGAUCUACUUUUGUUGGCGUUGGUACAAUUUGAGUCGAGGUGGAGAUCAUUAGAGUACCGAAAGUUUGGGGAAUUUGAUUUAGUUCCUGUUGUCUUUAGUUUGUACUUUGGGUGCUUAUAGUGAUUGUUGAUUCGAUUCUCUGUGAUGUUUUCGGAAUUUGGCCAAGGUGGAGAUUGUUGGAUAAUGGCCAAAUUAGUGGCCAAGUGGCCAAAAACAUAUAAUAAAAAAUGAGGGAACAUCAUUUUGAGAAGACCAAUGAUGAUGUUUGUUGAAAAGAAAAAGAAAUGUCAUGAUGAUGUUUGUAAAGGAAUGAUUAUUCCUUUACUUUGGAUUUUUUUAUUGGAUGCUUUUGUAUGGAUAAAUGUUGCAUCCGAAUGUGGGAGAUGAGGGGGGAGCGGCAGAUGAGAGAAACCAGGGAGAGCAUUCGGCUCUCCCAUUUGAAUAUGAGCUGCUCCUUCCCACCAUUUGUAAUAAUCCCAUUUUGUUAGUAAUCACUCAAUCAAAGAUAUUUGUGCUACAUGUUGUGGCUUUUGGGAGAGAAGGAAUUUGGUAUAUGUUUCCAUUUUCUCCAUUUGUUCUUUGUUUUAGUGAGAGCUAUUGGGUGUAUGUGGGAUUUGGGUUUGAGAGUUAAAACUCUAUUGUAAUCUCCUUGUGAUAUUAGUGGAAUUUCCUUGCCGUCUCGGAACUGGAUGUAGGCUUACGCCGAACCAGUAUAAAUCCUUGUGUCUUUUGGAUUAUUUGUUUUGUCAUAUUUUGCCGUUGUAGUUUAUUAGUUUCAUAUUUGACGCUUCCGCACAACAGUACGGAUGACUGUCUCUCAUCUGUUUAAAAACAAACUUAAACGUUUCAUGAGACUAAGCUAGCUGUUCAAGUGGUUUCCGAGCAAGAACUCUAAGCAAAAGCACUCCGUUAACCACUAUCUUAAAAUCGGAUUCGAUAGAGGACGUGCUGCUCUGUAAUAUAUCUCAUAAAGAUGGUGAUUAUUAUGGUUGUUAUAUGUCCUUGUGCAGG